GUGAGGAAUAUUGGUCAAUGGGCGGGAGCCUGAACCAGCCAAGUCGCGUGAAGGAAGAAGGAUCUAUGGUUCGUAAACUUCUUUUGCAGGGGAAUAAAGUGCAGGACGUGUCCUGUUUUGUAUGUACCCUGAGAAUAAGGAUCGGCUAACUCCGUGCCAGCAGCCGCGGUAAUACGGAGGAUCUGAGCGUUAUCCGGAUUUAUUGGGUUUAAAGGGUGCGUAGGUGGUUUGAUAAGUCAGCGGUGAAAGUUUGCAGCUUAACUGUAAAAAUGCCGUUGAAACUGUCGGACUUGAGUGUAAAUGAGGUAGGCGGAAUGCGUGGUGUAGCGGUGAAAUGCAUAGAUAUCACGCAGAACUCCGAUUGCGAAGGCAGCUUACUAAGCUACAACUGACACUGAAGCACGAAAGCGUGGGGAUCAAACAGGAUUAGAUACCCCGGUAGUCC
rnacentral:rRNA from 1 species